CUGUCAAAUCUAACAGCCUGGCCAUUUAUUGCUUCCAUCGUCUGUUCAUGUCCAUCAACCACACCUUUUCAGAUAGCCUUUCCCAAAAAAUUACAAUGUAUUUGCUAUCCUUGACCACUCCCUUCUCUUUCCCCAGACAACUUCACUCCGGAUUUCUUCUCCAUCUUUCCUCUGGAUCUGCUACUCUAUGGACCGUCAUUUCCCCCACCAGGUAUGAUUCUUCCUUUCUCUCUAAAGCUUCUUUUGCUAAGUUAUGGGCUUGAGUAUUCUUCAUUCUGUGGAUGAACUGGAAAGUGACAUCUUGAACACUGGAUUUUCUGAUCUAUAUAUCAUGAAUAAUCGCUCUGAGAACCGACCUGUCCAUUUCUGUCGAUUGGCAUUUUUUAAUGACUGUUUUCGAAUCCCCCUUUAUUGUUGUUGUUGUUAACCCCAUUUCUAUUACUAAUUUGAUGGCAUCUAAACCUGCGAGGGCUUCUGCUCGAAUGGGGAAAGGAUGUUAUCAUGUAAAACUGACUUUAAGGCUUUUAAAUCACCCAUCUGGUCUCGAACAACUAUACCUGAGGUCAAUCUAGCAUUUCUUCUGUCAAAGGCUACGUCAAGCUGAACUGUAAUACCCUCCGUCGCCUCUGUUUGACCAUUGACUCUUUCGAUGGUAAAUGUGAGUUUUUUUCUCUUGGAUCCCAUUCAGUUCUGCUAUGUAACUAUUAACUUUCUGCGCCAUAUCCCUAACUGAGAUGAUCUUCCUUUCACGGGUGAAUUGGUUUCGGGAGCUCCAUAUACACCAUAACGCACAACAAAAGGACCGAUAUUGAUCUUUUGUACUCCUUUCAAAAACCCAGGACAUAGUCUAAAGAUAUGGCUACUAUCUUCUUAUUCGAGUCUGCACCGAGGACACCGGAUGUUGUCUGUCACUUUCUUGUAUCUUAGAUUUCCUAAUGAAGGGAUGUAGUUCUAGGAGAUUCGCCAUACUAUUAUUUUAAAUUUUGCUGGUAGUUGUAAAUCACAUAGUUUUCUAAAGAAGUUUUUUGUUUCGAGCUGUAUUAAAUAACUAUUAGGAUCCAAGCUAGAAUAUUGUAAUAGUUUAUAGGCGCUUCUUACUGAAAACUCCCCUGAGGGUUCUUCUUUCCACACCUGGAAGUCUAUAUGUUCUGUCUCUGCUAAAGGGCUCUGUAAAAUCUUUUGUGCUAUAUCCAGCUGAAAGCCUACCAAUUGCUUCACUCCCUAGAAUCCAACAAUCAGUCCAUACGUCUAUCUCAGUCCCUCAUCCAACUCUCCAGCAAAGCCCGUUAUGAAUUAGCCCUCUUGCUGCCCAGAUGCUCUUCCAGGUAUAUAAAGGUCGAUGAUAUGGGCUCAUGCUUACACUAAAGAGAUACUUACUUCAAAAACAAUUUGGUGGGAUAACCCCUAAGCAAUGUGUUGUUUCUUCAUCUACCAUCGACAUUAGAGGUGUUCUUCUUUGGGCUCCUCCAAGGCCUGGCUUCGUUAAAUUCAAUGUUGAUGGGAUAGCUAAAGGUUGCCCGAGACUUACUAGGUGUGGCGGAGUGCUUCAAAAUGAGAUGGGUGAAACCUCAGCUCUUUUCUCGGGUCCUUGCCUGCCUCGAAGGCUAUUACAAUUAAAAUUCUAGCUAUUAAGACAACUUUGGACAUCUUUGUCUUAACAAGAUGGUAGCAAAAGGUAAAUUUAAUAGUUGAAUCAGACUCAGAGACUGCUAUCUCAUGGAUCCUCAAUGAAAACAAAAGACUAUGACAUUUAUGGGAUAUUUAAGGAGAUUGAUAAAAUCAAAUUGGAAAUAGGCGAUGUUGACUUUGUCCAUGUUCAAAGAGAAGCCAAUGGUAUGAUGUAUGGUUUAGCGAAAGCAGGUUCAUUGUUCUUGUUUGUUCAAGGCUUGGUGGUAAUUCUAUUGGUUCUCCGUCUUUUGCCUUUGUUUCAUCUCUUUUGUUUUGCUUCUAGUUUAUUGGCUUUCUGCUCAAUGCCCUUGUUCUUACGAGGUGCCUUUUGUUUUCAAGUUGUUUGGCCUUUUUUCUUUAAUAAAUUUGAUAAUCGAGAAAAAAAAUGAUAUUAGAA